UACAGAGGUCCCAAGCGUUGUUCGGAUUCAUUGGGCGUAAAGGGCGCGUAGGCGGCCACCGCAAGUCGACUGUGAAAUCUCCGGGCUUAACCCGGAAAGGUCAGCCGAUACUGCGGGGCUAGAGUGCAGAAGGGGCAACUGGAAUUCUCGGUGUAGCGGUGAAAUGCGUAGAUAUCGAGAGGAACACCUGCGGCGAAGGCGGGUUGCUGGGCUGACACUGACGCUGAGGAGCGAAAGCGUGGGGAGCGAACAGG
rnacentral:rRNA from 1 species